UCUCCUCCUCCUCUGAGAACAUCCUUUCAUGCUGCAGCUGACAGGUUUCAGUCCUGGGGCCGUUUCUGCGUCUGUCUGCUCAUUGUUCCUGCUCCAGUCUGCUGUUCCACGAAGCUGUCUUCAAACAGAGAGUCAAGAUGAGGAGAAGUGGCAUUCUGAUAAAACAGUAUAUGUGUAGAGGCUUAUUCCAGAGGGGAAUAUGGUUAUUUUCUUCCUGUCCUGAAAUGGAGCUGGAAACCAUGACAGUAAAAGUAACCAUCCAGGACUUUGUUGCCGAUGUGGUGUCUGAGCUAUUUUUCCGAAAUACACAGCAAGUCUCUAAGGAGAUCAUGUUCAUCUUUCCUGUGGACUCUGACACUGUUGUACACACCUUCUAUGCUACCAUGGGGGACACUCGUAUUGAAGCAAUGCUCUGGGAGAAGGAGGAGGCCCAGCAUCUGUGCAAAGCCACUUCAGGCAUGGAGAAUUUAAGAUACCUGCAGGAUCAGUGGGAUCUUUGGGGUCCUGUGUUUGCUUGCUUCUUGGGGACCCUGCCUCCUAACAGGGAGGUCACCAUCAGCCUGUGCUAUGUCCAGGAGCUACCACUGCAUCCUGAUGGAGCUGCCCUGUUUUGCUGGCCACAUGAGCUGUUCCCCCAGAGAAACUACCUUAGCUAUAUCUCUUCUGAAGAGGGGAUGUUCGAAAACCUGCACUUCAGCAUCUGUCUGAAGUCAGCCCAUGGUGUGUCCCAUGUAGCCAUUAACAGCAGCUACACCCCUCUGCAAUACACAGCUCCAGAUCAGACAUCUGCUGAGGUCUCCUUGAAAUUGCCACCCUGGAUGCAGGAUGAUCUGAACUUGCUGGUGUAUUACAGAGGGUCUCACACUCACAGUGCUGUUGUGGAGAGGAGAGAUCCCAAAGCCCCACCUGGUUCUCUGCUGGGAGACCCAGUGGUGAUGGUGACACUGACGCCCAACAUUCCUGAGGUGGUGCCCAGUUCAGGCCAGCUUGGAGAAUUCCUCUUUCUCAUGGACCGCAGCCUCUUCCAGGAUGCACAGAACACACUGCUCUUCCUCCUCAAGAGUUUGCCUCUGGGCUGUUACUUCAACAUCUACAGUUUUGGGGCCACUUUCAAAGCCUUCUACCCGCAGAGUGUGGAAUACACACAGGAAAGCAUGGACAAUGCAGUGAGGUGCCUCUCCUCCAUCUGCCCUGAUCUGGGGGGGUGUGACCUGUUGGGCCUCCUAAAGUCUAUCUACAGCACUCCUCUCAUUCAUGGGAACCUCCGUCAGCUUUUCAUCUUCAUCCAAAGGAAGAUCUCCAGUGAAGAGGAAGCUGUCAUGGCUGAGGUCUACCGUUACCGGGACCACCACCGGUGUUUCUGUUUUCCUACUAACAGAUGUGACAGCUUCAACCUUUCCCAAGCCAUGGCCCUGGAGACCAAAGGUGAAUGUGUGUGCAUCCACUCUAGGAUGGACAUGGCAUCUGAGGCAGUGAAAUGCCUACGGCGGGCUCUGCAGCCUAUGGCUAGUGGGAUCUCAUUACAUUGGGACCUUCCACCUGGCCUGGAGGUGUCAAUGAUCAGAAAAGCUCCUGAGAUGAUCUUCCAGGGACAUCAGAGCUCCGUCUAUGCCCAGAUCCGUGGGCAAGCACAGGAUGUAGAGUUGGGUGAGGGAGCCGUGUCCCUUCAGUACCAUGUGGGCAGCCAGUCCUUCAACUACACACUCAGGUUCUCACUGUUCCCAUCAGCAGAUGACAGGCUGCCUGUGCACCGCAUGGCCAUGAUGCACCUGCUGUGGAAACUGGCAUGGGAGGGGACAAGCAGGGCAGAGAAGGACAUCCAGCACAGUGCAGUUAAAUCCAGCAUCAGCCUGGGGGUUCCAUCCCCCUUCACAUCUGGUGUGGCAGUACUCAUGAAACAGAGAGAUGCUUGGCACCAUGAUUCUUUGCCUCCAGACUCCUCCACGUUGUUCUCUUCCUCUUGCAACCUGGUUCCCUGCCAGCUGCUUUGGUUGCGUGGCUUUAGGCCUGUGUGGUUCAAGUCCACCAAGUUUUGGAUAGUCCAGAAGUGCCAGUUCUGCCUUGAGGUGCUUGAUCGCAAAGCCCCUGACACUGAAGCGCUCACCCAGCUUUCAGCAUCUUGUAAAGAGCGGGAACCUUCUUCUGAAGAGCAGGUGAUGGAAGAACCACCAGCAUCUAACAUCAGUUGGGACUGGAAAAUAUCACCACUGUCAACAAGAUUGUGUGACUUCUCCAGCCUCAGGGUAGUGGUGGCACUUCAGAAAGCAAAUGGCUCCUGGGCCUUCACUGCAGCCCUGGCCUCUGCCUUAGGACUCAGCAAUGCUGAUGUUGAUGGGCAAAGGCCCACUGAGGUCUCAUCUUUCUUUCUUUGCCCUGAUUGUUCUGUUUUCCCCCACCGGAUAUGCAGCCAACUGCAUGGGCCACAGUUUUGGCCUUAGUCUGGUUGCACCAGUAUAAAUGGAAGGUACCUUGGUCAGAGCUUCUGGAGGCCAAAGCUUGUAGGUGGCUGCGGGACCAAGCUGAGGUCCAGCUGGAUGAAUGUCUGGAGGCAGCAAAUUCCCUGCUAGGCUGCUUUGUGGAGCCCACUGUCUUCAGGAUUUGAACUUACCCUGCUGCUGGGGGUGAGCAAGAAGCUGGGUGGGAACACGGCCAGGACAGCUGACCCAAACUGGCCAAAGGGAUAUUCCAUACCAUUAACAUCAUGCCCUUGUGGGAGUGAGCGAGUGGCUGGAUUCUUAAUUGCCGUCCAGGGCCAACUUACCGCAAGCUGACUUGUUCACACAUUUGCUCUCUGCCAUAGUAUGAGUUUCCCCUGAGUUCUGAAAAAUAACCCUAAAUACAUAUGCUAAACUUUGCUUCUUUUUUCUACGUUCUG